rnacentral:lncRNA from 1 species
CAUUGACUUUCCUUUUCACUUGUUGCAUCAACUUCAUUGCUAUUUUUUCAUUCUGGGAUUCAUUACGCAAUCUCUGAUGAUGUAACAAAAUUCAAGUCUCUUGUCAGUUUUGAGUAUGCAGAUGGCUUUGCUUUGGGCUGUUUCUCUUUAAGGAAGAUUCAGAAACUGCCUCAGAGAAAAGGAAACUAACCCAGAACCCACAUAGUGGGACUUGCUCACCUGUCAGCAGAGAGCCUCUGAGGCUUGUUUAGCAGCUGCAGCCAAUGUGUUGUAAUUUUAACGGUUUUCUCAAUCUUGGGUUAGCCUGACUCACUGCACCCCCGAUAGUGAUUCUGAGGAUUAAAGUCCAGCUCAGAGAAUGGCCUGGGAUCUGAAGUAAAAGCAGGCUUGAUGCUGACGGGCACUUUCUGAAAGGGCAGGUCUGAGUGUCCAGCAGCAGCAGGUCCUGGCAGCAAACAGUGAAAACAAGGCCUGGGCUGCUCCUGCCUGUUCCUGGGCCAUCGACCCUCUGAUGGGCGCAUUCUGAGAGUGACAGGGGAGCACAGUGUGGGAUCCUCUGGUUGGGUAUGUUCUGGAGGAGUUAGGAGAGCUAGGCAGAGAGGCCUUCAGCCGAGUACCUAGUUCCAGCUGCAUCCUGAAGUGAGCUAGAAAAAAAGUGCACAAUGAGUCUAUCCAAGGCCUGUGACAAGAUGUGCAGGGUGUGAGAAAAGGGAAGAGAGAAGACUGCAACCAGGGGCACUUAGAUCUCUCUGCAUAUUGUCCCUCUCCACACCAGGUGGGAGGCCUGAGCAGGGGCUCUGGGCCCAUGAGUUGUUGGCUGUGAGCACAGGGCAACCCCAGCCUGGGCAGAGUCAGCCUCAGGUGCUGAGAGAGGGCGAGAGCAGGGCCGCAGCUGGAAGGUGGGAAGACACGCUCUUCCCUCAAGCUGGAGACAGACUCUCCACUGUGGUCCUGAAGCUUCACAGGAGCUCUCUAGGUUGCCAAGCAAAAAGUCUCCAGUUAGGUUGGCCCAUUUUUAAUUUUGUAUACACUUAUACAAAUGGUUGGUUUUCUUUUGAGUUGAGUUUCUCUUACUCACUACUAUGUUUGUGCAUUUAUUGUGCUUCUUACAUCUUGUUAUUAACAACCCUAUUAUAAGCCUAGACAACAACUUAUUUAUUUACGCCAUUUUAAGGGAUUUUACGUCAUUUCGUGUUUGGUACUGUUAUCAAUAAUGCUGGUAUAAGUAUUCUUUACUUAUAUCCUGAUGCAUAGGCACUUGAUUUUUUUUCCAGGCUGAUUGCUGCAGUUACUAGAUCAUAGGCUAUGCAUAUUUCAACUAUGCUACAAAAUGUUUUUAAUUUACAAUUUAGACACCAAGUAGCAGUUGCUCUAUAUGAACAUCACCCUUGACGUUUUCAAUCCUUUAAAAUUUUUAUUUGCAGACAAUAUACAUUUAUUUAAAAAUUUGAAAAUCCAACCAAAUACUUUUAGAUAUG